rnacentral:lncRNA from 1 species
AGGUAACCAGUCAUGUGAGUAGAGACCAUCCAAGAGGUACCAGCAUGGUAGUAGAGACAUCAUGCCAAUAGGUACCAGUCAUGGUGAGUAGAGACACAUGUCAAUAGGUACCAGUCAUGGUGAUAGAGACAUGUCAAUAGGUACCAGUCAUGGUGAGUAGAGACAUAUGUCAAUAGGUACCAGUCAUGUGGUAGAGAGACUCAUGUCAAUAGGUACCAGUCAUUGGUGAGUAGAGACAUCAUGUCAAUAGGUACCAGUCAUGGUGGAGUAGGAGACCUCAUGUCAAUAGGUACCAGUCAUGGUGAGUAGAGACCUCAUGUCAAUAGGUACCAGUCAUGGGGUAGAGAGAACCUCAUGUCAAUAGGUACCAGUCAG